rnacentral:rRNA from 1 species
GCUACGGGAGGCUGCAGUGAGGAAUAUUGGUCAAUGGGCUUACGCCUGAACCAGCCAAGUCGCGUGAGGGAAGACUGCCCUAUGGGUUGUAAACUUCUUUUAUAAAGGAAUAAAACGAGGCACGUGUGCCUUUUUGCAUGUACUUUAUGAAUAAGGAUCGGCUAACUCCGUGCCAGCAGCCGCGGUAAUACGGAGGAUCCGAGCGUUAUCCGGAUUUAUUGGGUUUAAAGGGAGCGUAGAUGGGUUGUUAAGUCAGUUGUGAAAGUUUGCGGCUCAACCGUAAAAUUGCAAUGGAUACUGGCAGUCUUGAGUACAGUUGAGGUAGGCGGAAUUCGUGGUGUAGCGGUGAAAUGCUUAGAUAUCACGAAGAACCCCGAUUGCGAAGGCAGCUUACUAAACUGUGACUGACAUUGAUGCUCGAAAGUGUGGGUAUCAAACAGGAUUAGAUACCCCUGUAGUC